ensembl:lncRNA
AUGACCCUGAAUCCAUCACUCCCUGGAGAUGCAGCCGGGGCGGUGUUUUGCCUUGGGGGGUGUUUUGCUUGGGGCCGGUGGGUGGCACUGCGGCCCUACGCCGCAGGCGGUGACAGUGGAUCCACGGGACAACCCCAAAGCCACAGCGGCCCCACGGCUGUCCCGGCACCGCCGGCACCAAAGGACUGUGCCCGCCCGGCACCACCAGAGGAAGCAGCAGCAGCUGCGCUGCCAACAGGCGCUCGCGGAGCCAAAGGAGCCGAAGGAGAGGGAAAUUCUGGCCCCGAAAGGUCUCUCUUUGGGAUUUCGCUUUUCCCACCCAACGGUAAGAGCCGGGUCCAGCACUGGGACAGCACCAGGCUGCUGGGAAAGGGGGCUCUGAUGGCCCUGGGUUCCUCUUUCUUCUUGGGGUUGUGCCAUGGAGCACCACAGCAGGAGGUCGGUGUUGUGGGGUUUAUUGCUUUUGCCCCCCCACCCCGGGCCAUAAACAGAUGGGGAUGGGGGCUGGCAGUUCUCUGAAGGGCAAUGGGACGCGGUGGCUGUGGUGACACCGACCGUCCGGUGGCUUUGAGGGUUGGGGUGGCUGAAAAGUCCCAAGUCGCCUUUCUCCUGGCUUCUCUUCCUAAAUAUAAGGGGAUCUAAAUAUAAACCCGGCCUGGGCCAAGCCAAGGUUGCAGGAAAGGUCUGCAGUGCUGAGCAGUGUCCCCUUUCCGAAGGCGCUGUCCCCAUAGGGACGUACCUCUAUGUCCCCAUUCUGCACAGAGCAGAGGAAUGGGGUGGGAUUCAGCUCUGAUUUGGGGUGAGAACCCCCACUCCUGGUGCAUGGAGCAUCCCCAUGGCUGUUUUAUGGGGCAAGACGCCACGGUGACCCCCCAUCCCUGGUGACAGCCACUGUCCCAUGGGACACAAGCAAUCCAUCCUCUGCCCACACCAUGAUGUGUCCAACAUAUGGGGACAUGUUGCAAAAUAAUAGUGGAUAUCACUGAGCAUCACUUGCAUAACACCAGUGGGAAGGUUGGAUGCGUGUCCUUGGUUGUAUGGAGACCCUACAAGCAACCCUACAAGUGUGGGUGGCGGAGUGAUGCUCUGAGCUGUUCCUGGAAAAUCCCUGAUGUAAUAACGGGCACUUUAAUGGGAAUUGGGCAAUUGAGUCCCACGGGAUUAAGUUGUGCUGAUAUUUGGAGAGCAUUUUCCACUCCCAGGGCAAAGGGUCCCAGUGCAGCGGCUGUGUGUUCCUGUGGGAAGACUGCUGGAGUUGAGGUAUGAAGGGAGAAGUUGCUUUGGGGUGGGUGAUGGCAGAGGAAUAAUGCAAGAAAUAAGGGCGUGAGGGUCCAGCGUGGGUCUAAUUUGGGUCCAGUGGUAUCCGAUAGGGGGAAAUCGGUAUCCUUUAGGAUGAGGUGCUGCAGGGACCACAGUAUGGCAAACCCUAUGUGAUCUCCAUCUCCCAUUGCCAGCACUGUGAACCCAUUGUCACCCAUUAUGGGACGAGCUGACAUCCCGCUCCCAGCCUGGGCAGGACGGGGUUAGUGUCAGUUGCUGGGGGAUGUUGCAACCUCCUAUUUCCAUCUGCGGGCAGGAGAGCAUCCCAGGACUUCGCAGCUUGCAGCCUAUGUGUGCCACCCCCAGCUCCGAGUACAUCGAGGUACCGUGGGGGCAUUAAAGCGCCCGUACCCCAUAUGGGAUGGUAGCAAUUAAUGGAUAUCAUGGAGUUAAUUUCCACACAGCUCACGGGUACAGGGCAGGCAGAGGGGAGAAGUGCUGUGUGUUCCCCUGAGCAAGACAGAAAGCAGAAGCUUGGUGUGAUUGGUGUGUGAGGGGAGCAGCAAUGUCUGUGUUUGGGGGGUUGGUGGUGUGUGUGAGUCCCAAAUGGGGAAGGGCAGAGGGAUGCUGGUGGGCAGCACCACGGAGUUGGCCAUGCAGAGCAAGCUGGGGAGCAUAGGGACCCACGGCAUGGAACUGGGGCCCAUCACCCCAUUGGCACCCAUUGCUCAGAGCCCCACAGCAGGGGCAGCCCCUACCCCAAGGCAGCAAAAAUCCCACCUGAAAACCCAGCGUGUUCUUUUGCAUCAAGCCAUGCAUCCAUCCCAGCCAUGCGGGUGCUGCUGUGCAUCCAGUGGGUGACCCCUGUUGGUCCCCACCGAGCAGAAGGACCGUGGUGACAAUAAGGAGCGUGGCAUUGCUUGCCAAAGGCAGCUCUCCCAUGUUGCUGCACAGCUCCCAGCAUGACAGAUGCUGCCUGGAAGCAUCCUGCAUUCCUGCAUUCCGGAAUGCACCAAACCACCCAGCAGCACUGGGAGGGCAGCAUCGCCUGCAGGGAUUUCCAGACCCUAAAAAGCCUCCCCUUAAAGGAGAGCAGCCUACAGACAGAGUGAGGACAUGGGGAGCUGAGAUGGGGCUGCAUCCCCCCCAGUUGGGGUCAGGGGAGGCAUUUGAUCACAAAACUUGGAGUCACUGUGUAUCUCCCCAGGUCGGCUUUGUAAUGCGUAGCCAAGCAUUGAGGCAUGGCCGUAUAUCUGGGGUUAGCAAACACCAGGCUCUGAAAUAGAACGUUAUCAUCUUACCGAAUGGGACAUCGAGUUGUUUAUAAAUGGGCCCAUUUCACCCAGCCGAGCUGCUCUGUUUGUCCCAGUUGCUGCUGGAAACUCCUGGAAUCCCACAAACACUCACCCAGCUCUGGGCUCUGGUCUGUGCACUGUUAAACCUUCCAGCAGAGCUCUCUUCUCCCUGCGUUGAGAUUGUUCCCCAUUUUCCCUUUUUUGUUGGCUUUUUGGGUGCUUUUUUUGGGGGUGAAAAACAAAACAGGACUUGCUCAAGCCACAGCAUCCAUAAAACAAUACCUGGAGGAUUAUCUUUCCUCUAACCAUCAGCAAAGAGCUGUGUCACCACCUUGUAUUCAUGUACCUUCAUAACCUUAAAUACCCACAAAUAAAACCUAUGGCAGCCAAUGGCA